AUGCACCGGCGAUGGGGGCCUCGCCGGCGUUCCGCCAGGCUGCUAGCCCGAGCGGAUCUCAUCAGCGAGCUCCCCGACGAUCUGCUCCUCCUCGUCCUCACCCGUCUCCACUGCGCCGCCACCGCCGCGCGCACCGGCAUCCUCUCCCGCCGGUGGCGUAGCCUCUGGCCCCGCCUCCGCCGAAUCGUCUUCCACGACGUUCCGUUCCGCUCGCUCGAAGCGGUGCUCGGCUGCUUCCCCCUUCCCCCGCCCGCGGUUUCCCUCAUCGUCAUCCGCCUCCCCAAGCAGGACAACCGCGUCCCCAAGGAGCAGCGCGCGGACGACGAAGCCCGCGUCAACUCGCUGCUCCGCGCCGCCGCGCGGCUCGAGCCGGAGAUGUUCAUCUUUGAGCUCCCCUCGGAGUUAAUCGAGGGUUCCUUCGUCGUCGACCUGCCUUGCUUCCACCGCGCCACCACCAUCAUGCUGCUCCUUUCCUCCGUCGUCUGCUCCUUGCCAGCCGGCGUCGAGUUCCCCGCACUCGAGACGCUAUCCCUCUCGUACUGCACUGCCAACAUCGACCGCUUGCUCUCCUGCUGCCCGCGCUUGCGCACGCUCUACCUCACCUUGGUUUCUUUCGAUAAGGACGGCCUGACGGUCAACUCGGCAUCGCUUCAGGAGAUUGCAGUGGUCGCCUGCAGGGUAAGCAAUAUCAACAUCGUUGCCCCGGUGCUUAAACAAUUGAGCAUGACCAUUCACACCUCGGAGGAAGUCAGCGUUUCCGCCUUGGCACCCAUGGUAGAGAAAGUUUCGUGGCAUUGCUCCUGGUUCGUGGCACCCAUGUUUGGUGUUUGGCAACUGGACAGUUUGGAGCUAAAGACGGCAGAGAGACAAGGACAGCUCCCUUCGCUGCACAUUCAUGCCUCUGCUUACACCAGCUUGUUUGUUAUUUUGCACGGCGGAGUGGGCACCUUUGCACAGGAGCUAGAGAAGCAUAUGAUUGCUAAGUUUUCUGUUUUGGAGCUACAUCUCACAGCAAAUGGACAUGUUUUUGGAGCACUCGUGUUUCAUAUCCUAGGGAUGAAUCUAAUUCGAUGUGCUACGCAGAUGCUUAGUGUUGACCUACAGACAUCAGAGGAGAAUGAAGAAUGCACAUUUGAUUGCCCUUGUGAGCCCACGGGUUGGAGAUCCCAAAUGAUCUCCUUGACUGCUCUUGAAGAAGUGGAGAUCAAUGGCUUUGGAGGAGACGAUCAUGAGAUUGAUUUCUUGAAACUGAUAUUCAAAGGUGCGCCAAUGCUUAAAAAAGUGAUAGUGAAGCUGUCAGAUGGGGCCUCAUCAAGUAGCGAUGGAUGCACAAAUAUAUACAACAUGUUCAAGGCUUAUUCCUCUGUGGAAUUCUAUGUUUAUCUUAGCUCUGGAUCAAUGCUCGGUGGCCAAAAUUGCCCCUCAGUAUGA
rnacentral:rRNA from 1 species